GCAGCCUGUCACGGGCAUGGGGUUAUGACAGGACACGUGGCAACAGCAAGAAGCAUCUGAGGCAGUUCCACAUUCUGUGACCUCACUUCUUCCGUUGGUUGUUGCUGACAUUCUUAUGUUAUUCCAACUACAAAACAGUCUGAAAAUGUACAGUUCUCUUUGCAUCGAACUAGCUGGCCUCCCUGCAUAGGGCAAAGGAGUCAUGGACUUGGGGCCGUUUUCAAGGUUAAAGCCAAUUGAUAUCAUAUGAUGAGUGUCUGAGAAUUGUCUCAGAGAGGUCAGGAGACUUCGUGAAGAAAGACCUUGUUUGUCAAUACCAAACAUCACAAGCAAACGUCCCGAUUUAUGGAGGAGACAGUAUGGUAGCUGAGUUUAACCUUAGACUUUUUGUUUUCUACCCUAACUUGACAUCAAGUGAUUUAGAAAAGAAAGAACUUGAGGAGCUACAAUUGCAAACCUUGUGGACACUAGCCUUGGGUUGUUUUAAAAUCUGGCCGAAAGUCCUUAUGUUCUUCCAAUAAUCUGUUGUUGAAGAAUUUUCCAGCACAGUAGAAAGAUUAAUAAAUUCCCGUUAAGCAAUUUCCUU